rnacentral:lncRNA from 1 species
AGAGUUUAGAGAGAGAAGGUCUUGUAUGUUAUUACGAGUACGGAGGCCUCCGAUUUCAAAGUCGUUUUCGAUGAUGGAGUUUCUGAAUCGAUGAUCGAUUUCGUUAGACAUGAUCUAGUAUAUUUGAAGUAUCUAAAAAUAAAUUUUACAAUUUUUUAAUAUCAUUUAUCGAGCGAUCGAAAUGGUUCAAAAUUAAUGGCUGAAAAUAAAAAUCUUACAAAAAGUGGUGAUAUAGCACUAAAAUUUUCGAUAAGAUAAAUUGAUCUUGUUGUAAAUAGUAUAAAUAAUUUUCUAUCAAAAUAUCAUCUGAUUUGAAUACUUCUACACCAUUAAACUUACAAAAAGUAUAUAUCAAUCAUAAAAAAUUGUUCAUUUUGAACUCUUCGAUCGCUAGAUAAAUGAUAUCGAAAAAUCACAAAAUUUAUUUUUUAGAUACUUCAAAUAAGUUAGACCAAGUCUAACGGUGCUGAUCAUUGAUUCGAAAGCUUCAUUAUCGAAAAUAGCUUAAGAGUACGGAGGCUUCCGUGCUUCUAAUAGCAUACAAAACCUACUAUAUAUAUAUAUAUAUAUAUAUAU